UACAGAGGGUGCGAGCGUUAAUCGGAAUUACUGGGCGUAAAGCGUGCGUAGACGGUCAUGUAAGUCGGAUGUGAAGGCCCCGGGCUCAACCUGGGAAUUGCAUUCGAGACUGCAUGGCUUGGGUGCGGAAGAGGGAAGCGGAAUUUCCGGUGUAGCGGUGAAAUGCGUAGAUAUCGGAAGGAACACCAGUGGCGAAAGCGGCUUCCUGGUCCGACACCGACGUUCAGGCACGAAAGCGUGGGGAGCAAACAGG
rnacentral:rRNA from 1 species